rnacentral:rRNA from 1 species
UUGGAGGGCAAGUCUGGUGCCAGCAGCCGCGGUAAUUCCAGCUCCAAUAGCGUAUAUUAAAGUUGUUGCAGUUAAAAAGCUCGUAGUUGAAUUUCGGGAUCAAUAUGUCGGUCGUGCUUCGGUACGUACUGGUAUCAUUGGUUUCUCCUUUCUGACGAACCGUGAUGUCAUUAAUUUGGUGUUAUGGGGAGUUAGGACUGUUACUUUGAAAAAAUUAGAGUGUUUAAAGCAGGCUCACGCUUGAAUACAUUAGCAUGGAAUAAUGAAAUAGGACGUUUGAUUCUAUUUUGUUGGUUUCUAGGAUCGACGUAAUGAUUAAUAGGGAUAGUUGGGGGCAUUAGUAUUCAAUUGUCAGAGGUGAAAUUCUUGGAUUUAUUGAAGACUAACUACUGCGAAAGCAUUUGCCAAGGAUGUUUUCAUUAAUCAAGAACGAAAGUUAGGGGGAUCGAAGACGAUCAGAUACCGUCGUAGUCUUAACCAUAAACUAUGCCGACUAGGGAUCGGACGAUG